rnacentral:rRNA from 1 species
AUUGAACGCUGGCGGCGUGCCUAACACAUGCAAGUCGAGCGGUAACAGGUGUAGCAAUACAUGCUGACGAGCGGCGAACGGGUGAGUAAUGCUUCGGAAUCUACCCUAUAGUGGGGAAUAACUAGCCGAAAGGUUAGCUAAUACCGCAUAUGUCCUACGGGAGAAAGCAGGGGAUCGCAAGACCUUGCGCUGAUGGAUGAGCCGAAGUCGGACUAGCAAGUGGGUGAGGUAACGGCUCACCAAGGCGACGAUCCGUAGAUGGUCUGAGAGGACGACCAGCCACACUGGAACUGAGACACGGGCCAGACGCCUACGGGAGGCAGCGGUUGGGAAUAUUGGACAAUGGGGGAAACCGUGAUCCAGCGACUCCGCGUGUGUGAAGAAGGCCUGCGGGUUGUAAAGCACUUUUAGUGGGGAUGAAAGGUACUCGGCUAAUACCGGGGUACUCUGACCUAACCCACAGAAAAAGCACCGGCUAACUCUGUGCCAGCCGCCGCCGUAA